rnacentral:rRNA from 1 species
AGGGUUUGAUCAUGGCUCAGGACGAACGCUGGCGGCGCGCCUAACACAUGCAAGUCGAACGGAGAAUGCAAGACGGAAGCCUUCGGGCGGAAGACUUACAUUCUUAGUGGCGGACGGGUGAGUAACGCGUAUCCAACCCGCCCACCACUUGGGGAUAACCUUGCGAAAGUAAGACUAAUACCCAAUGAUAUCUCUAGAAGACAUCUGAAAGAGAUUAAAGAUUUAUCGGUGAUGGAUGGGGAUGCGUCUGAUUAGCUUGUUGGCGGGGUAACGGCCCACCAAGGCAACGAUCAGUAGGGGUUCUGAGAGGAAGGUCCCCCACAUUGGAACUGAGACACGGUCCAA